rnacentral:sRNA from 1 species
UUGCAUGAGGGAUAGCAAUGAAAAUCCUUUUGUGCCGGUGUUCGGCACAAAAGAUUGAAAUGGACAGCCCGGCCCGCA